rnacentral:rRNA from 1 species
UACAGAGGGUGCAAGCGUUGUUCGGAAUUACUGGGCGUAAAGCGCGCGCAGGCGGUCUUCCAAGUCAGUGGUGAAAGCCCGGAGCUCAACUCCGGAACUGCCAUUGAAACUGUGAGACUUGAGGAUGAGAGAGGUGAGUGGAAUUCCCAGUGUAGAGGUGAAAUUCGUAGAUAUUGGGAAGAACACCGGUGGCGAAGGCGGCUCACUGGCUCAUUUCUGACGCUCAGGCGCGACAGCGUGGGGAUCAAACAGG